CCUACGGGUGGCAGCAGUGGGGAAUAUUGGGCAAUGGACGCAAGUCUGACCCAGCAACGCCGCGUGAAGGAAGAAGGCUUUCGGGUUGUAAACUUCUUUUGAGAGGGAAGAGCAGAAGACGGUACCUCUCGAAUAAGCCACGGCUAACUACGUGCCAGCAGCCGCGGUAAUACGUAGGUGGCAAGCGUUGUCCGGAUUUACUGGGUGUAAAGGGCGUGCAGCCGGUGUGACAAGUCAGAUGUGAAAUCCGGGGGCUCAACCCGCGAACUGCAUUUGAAACUGUUUGUCUUGAGUAUCGGAGAGGCAGGCGGAAUUCCUAGUGUAGCGGUGAAAUGCGUAGAUAUUAGGAAGAACACCAGUGGCGAAGGCGGCUUGCUGGACGACAACUGACGGUGAGGCGCGAAAGCGUGGGGAGCAAACAGGAUUAGAUACCCUAGUAGUC
rnacentral:rRNA from 1 species